GACGGAGGGGGCUAGCGUUGUUCGGAAUUACUGGGCGUAAAGAGCGUGUAGGCGGUCCGGUAAGUCCGCUGUGAAAGUCGGGGGCUCAACCCUCGAAUGCCGGUGGAUACUGUCGGGCUAGAGUGCGGAAGAGGCGAGUGGAAUUCCUGGUGUAGCGGUGAAAUGCGUAGAUAUCGAGAGGAACACCUGCGGCGAAGGCGGGUUGCUGGGCUGAUACUGACGUGAGGCGCGAAAGCCCAGGGGGAGCGAACGGGG
rnacentral:rRNA from 1 species